rnacentral:rRNA from 1 species
GUCGAGAAUCUUUCACAAUGGGGGCAACCCUGAUGGAGCGACGCCGCGUGGAGGAUAAGGUCUUCGGAUUGUAAACUCCUGUCAUGCGUGAACAAGGUUGCUUGGUUAAUACCUGGGCAAAUUGAUGGUAACGCAAGAGGAAGAGACGGCUAACUCUGUGCCAGCAGCCGCGGUAAUACAGAGGUCUCAAGCGUUGUUCGGAAUCACUGGGCGUAAAGGGUGCGUAGGUGGCGUGGUAAGUCAGAUGUGAAAGCCCGGGGCUCAACCUCGGAACUGCAUCCGAUACUGCCAUGCUAGAGUACUAGAGAGGUGACUAGAAUUCUCGGUGUAGCAGUGAAAUGCGUAGAUAUCGAGAGGAAUACCAAAGGCGUAGGCAGGUCACUGGACAGUUACUGACACUGAGGCACGAAGGCCAGGGGAGCGAACGUGAUUAGAUACCCCUGUAGUCC